CAUAGAACAAUAUUACAAUGUACACUACCGUUCAAAAGUUUGGGGUCACUUAGAAAUGUUCUUGUUUUUGAAAGAAAAGCAAAGAAAAAUGUCCAGUAAAUAACAUCAAAUUGAUCAGAAAUACAGUGUAGACAUUGUUAAUGUUGUAAAUGACUAUUGUAGCUGGAAACGGCUGAUUUUUGAUGGAAUAUCUGCAUAGGCGUACAGAGGCCCAUUAUCAGCAACCAUCACUCCUGAGUUCCGAUGGCACGUUGUGUUAGCUAAUCCAAGUUUAUCAUUUUAAAAUUAUAAUUUGAUCAUUAGAAAACCCUUUUGCAAUUAUGUUAGCACAGCUGAAAACUGUUGUGCUGAAUUAAGAAGCAAUAAAACUGGCCUUUAGAGUAGUUGAGUAUCCGGAGCAUCGUCAUUUGUGGGUUCGAUUGCAGGCUCAAAAUUGCCAGAAACAAAGAACUUUCUUCUGAAACUCGUCAGUCUAUUCUUGUUCUGAGAAAUGAAGGCUAUUCCAUAGGAGAAAUUGCCAAGACACUGAAUAUCUGAAGACACAGAAUGACACUUCUCAUUUUGGUGGGAAAUACAGGGUUACCCUGGAGAUAAAUUAUUUAUUCUAGAGAUGGAAUGUUUGUAAAAUACCUGGAAAAUAUUGUGUGUGUGUGUUCCAGGUCUGGGCAGUGUGGUGGAGUGUAGAGGUAUAUCCCAGGCUACGUUUUUCAUGUGUGUGAGCUGUGCUGAGACUCUCUCCAGUACACACAUCUGUGAACACAUCAUCAGCGCGCAACACCAGCAGUGCUACAUGUUUUCCCAGUAUAGUCCUAUGCGCUGUGAUUGGUUGAGAGAGCAGCAGCAGCCUCCGAGUCCACAGCUCCUCAGGAAGGUUGCUUCAGCACUGUCACAACUGGAGGUGGAUCUAGAUGCACAGGUGAUGCUGCUGGAUCAGAUGUGGUAUAACCUUGUGAAGUCAGCUCCAUUCUACGAAGCCAUGUACAUGCUGCAGGAACAGAAUCAGAAUGCCCUGUGUCUACACACAGCAAGCAGACAUCAGCUUUUUCCCCCAGUUGGUCCUGACCCAGCAACGGAGCAGGGCUUUGACCAGAACCACAGAGUGAUGGAUAAACUGACCAUGGAUCAGAUUGAGCCCCAUCACCCCCUGCAGACAGCAGAUACAGUGGCUGGUAAACUGACUGGAGAUCAGCUGGAGUCAGGCCAGUGCAUACAGACCGCAGACAGACGGCCAGAUAAUCAGAACCCGGAUCAGCCCCAGUGGAGCCAGAGCUCAGAGAGAACAGAGAUGGUCCCUGAGCCAAUAAGAGCCAAGACACCACAUAAUUCUGAGCCAAUCAGAGACCAGACACCACAGAACAUUGAGCCAAUCAGAGCCAAGACGUCAAAGAAUUCUGACCCAAUAAAAUUCCAGACACCACAGAACACUGGGCCAAAAAGAGCCUGGAUGCCACAGAACUCCUCAGAACCACAUCUGGACCAAGACAACACAGUCAUUGUCAAACAGGAGCCUGUGGACCCCAAGGUGGAACCUCAGCCCCAUCCUCAUACCCAGCCUGAGGUGGACCCCUUAAAGGGUGUGUGUGAGGUGGAGUACCAGGGGACCGUCCUAGCACACAGCCAAGAGGUGACACGAAUAGGAGGGGCCACAGAGAACUCCCUUCAACCCACCAAGAACUUGAGAGACUCCGUCAACAACAGCUUGCCUUUGGUCGGUCUCAGUGCAAUGAUAGAGUGUUGCAGUGAGGGCCAGGUGUCCUUCUACCUGUGUGUGUCGUGUGGCAGCAAAAUUGAAAAAACUCUACUCAUCAGCCACGUCCUCAAAUACAGACACCGACAGCUGUACCUGACAAUGAGGUACCCGUGGUAUUUCCUUGGUGUGGUACCAGCCCGAGGGUUGGCAGAACAGUCCAGACUGAUGCAGAUUGCUAAGGAGGUGGAGGAGCAGAACCAUGAUGAGCCUGGCACGCUACAGGAGGUGAUUCUGGCCCCUGCUGACUUUGCCGAGAUCAAACGGAUGCUGUUUGAUAAAGCUGUAUCCCGUUUGCAGGAGAUCUGUAGAGAGCAGAACCAGACUGAACUCCUCACCAUGGUCACCAGCAAACCUGAACCAAUAGUGGUCAAGCAGGAGAUUGUGGAGUGCCAGGUGGUCUCCCAUCAGGCCUUGGGGCUAUUCCUACCGCCACAGAGAUGUAGGAGAAACACGGGAAAACGUUGUUCUAACGUUGAGGGGUCAGAGGUGAGGGGUCAGCAGCAGGUGAAGAAGAGAAAGGUGUCCAGCCCCCCUGAGGGUCACACUGCCCCUGUCAUCUGUCUAUCAUCUCCUGAAGUCAUCAAGUCUUCUGAAACACACACUGUCAACCAGACACACAUCAUCACACCCUCACCCACACAAUCCAACACUAAGCCGAAACUCACAUACACACACUCUGACUCUCAAACUAAACUUAAACCUUCACGCACACACCCCAAACCCAGUUCAACAGCCCCAGAAUAUACUAGACCCAAACUCAUUCCCCAUUCUGCCACCAAGCCCUCCGGUAUCCCUGCCGACAGCCUGACUGUUGCCAAAGAGUCCUCUAGCAAGAAAGCCACUCACACACUGUGCAAACCCACACACACACUGUCCAAUAGCCAGAAGCUCACUGACAAACAUUCGGACAAGAAUGAGUCUCAGAAACAUACUGAAAAGGCUAAACCUACUCGCACACACAGUGAACGCACACACAGAAACCGCACACACACUCGCAAACACAGUGACCUCACACGCACUGACAAAGCCAAAGACGGACACAGUGACAAGACCAAACGCAGACACAGUGACCGCAAACACACUAACAGACAUUCUGACCACUCACGCUGUCACACCAGCUCUAAGAGACAUAAUCGUAGCUCCAGCCGUUCCUCCAAAGCCUCCCCCAGAGCUAGUCCCUCUGAGCCCCCCCUGCUCUCCCCCUACUCCCCCGCUGCAUUCUCCCCACCAGAGCCACUUCUGCGGCGAGCCUAA
ensembl:lncRNA